rnacentral:rRNA from 1 species
UUGCUGGGGUGAUUAGUGGCGAACGGGUGAGUAACACGUGAGUAACCUGCCCCCGACUCUGGGAUAAGCCCGGGAAACUGGGUCUAAUACUGGAUAUGACCUUUGACCGCAUGGUCUUUGGUGGAAAGAUUUAUCGGUUGGGGAUGGACUCGCGGCCUAUCAGCUUGUUGGUGAGGUAAUGGCUCACCAAGGCGACGACGGGUAGCCGGCCUGAGAGGGUGACCGGCCACACUGGGACUGAGACACGGCCCAGACUCCUACGGGAGGCAGCAGUGGGGAAUAUUGCACAAUGGGCGAAAGCCUGAUGCAGCGACGCCGCGUGAGGGAUGACGGCCUUCGGGUUGUAAACCUCUUUCAGUAGGGAAGAAGCGAAAGUGACGGUACCUGCAGAAGAAGCGCCGGCUAACUACGUGCCAGCAGCCGCGGUAAUACGUAGGGCGCAAGCGUUAUCCGGAUUUAUUGGGCGUAAAGAGCUCGUAGGCGGUUUGUCGCGUCUGCCGUGAAAGUCCGAGGCUCAACCUCGGAUCUGCGGUGGGUACGGGCAGACUAGAGUGAUGUAGGGGAGACUGGAAUUCCUGGUGU